rnacentral:pre_miRNA from 1 species
CCCUCCCGCUGGAUCUGGCGGAGGGGAGGGUGCCGCCAUUGCUGGGACACCGGGCGCCGCCGCCUCCCCUCUCGCUGGAUCCAGCGGAGGAGA